GUACAAGAAGCAUCCACUGGUGAGGGCUUCAGGCUGCUUCCACUCAUGGCAGAAGGUGAAGGGGAGUCAGUUUGUGCAGAGAUCACAUGGUGAGAGAGCAGAAGCAAGAAAGUGGAAGGUGCCAGGCUCUUUUGUACAGCCAGCACUCGGGGGAACUCUCAUGGAACCUAAUAUAAGGAGAACUCACUUACUACUCCAGGAUGGUGCCAAGCCAUUCAUGAAGGCUCCACCCCCAUGAUCGAAGCAUCUCCCAUUAGGCCCCACCUCCAACAGUGGGGAUCAAAUUUCAACUAAGGUUUAGGGGACAAACGUCCAAACUACAGCAAGCCCAUCCUACAGCAAGGCCCGAGAAGAUACAGUUUGUUCUCAAUUAUUUGAAGAUACUUACAAGUUAUCAUCAAAUGACUUGUGCACAUGUUAGAAAAGAACCCAACUUUAGAGUAUAAGUCAAGAGUCCUGAAUUUAAGGCCUCUGAGGGGUUUUUAAACCUUCU
rnacentral:lncRNA from 1 species